rnacentral:lncRNA from 1 species
UACAAAUUUCCCAACUUAGUCCAUGUGUACAGGGGGUUUUACUCACCAAUCCAUCUAUGUCCUUCGUAUGCUCACCACCUCCAGUGGCUUUCCUACCCUCUUUCUCAGCCCCCUCACCCGCCACCUCCCGCGUGAUAACACCCACCAGCCUAUUUAGGUCUCCAAAAUCCUGCCAAACAAUUGGCAAACCUAUUAAAUAAUAUUCAUGUAGUAAAUAGCAAGAUAUCAAAAGAAACCUACCACUUCAGUGCCGCAGUCUACAAACUCCCCCGGGACGCUUAUAUCAGAACCAACAUCACUUCCCUGCUCAACAUAAGACACCGGGUAAGCAUUGCCAACCUCUUCCUCAGUUACAUAGAAUGUGUUACUCCCACUCCCAAAUUGUACCCCACUCCCAAAUUGUACCACAUGGGCCUGUUCAGUUUCGUCCCCCUUCUGCGUAUACAACAGUGGGACCUCAUCUCCUUCUUUGAGAGCCGGAGACCUGCUACCACCACCUUGCUCGUCACCUAGUUCCUCCAAGCUGUUAUGGGUUCCCUCUUGAUCGCUUCCCCCGAAAAGAGCCCCUGUAUCGACAUAAACAACCCUCUUCUUCCUCCUACGCAAUCCCUUAUUGCUGGAAAAACUUCCCUAUGCUUUUAGCCUUAUAUUUCUUCAGCAGCCUGCCUUGCUUCUCUACUACCUUGUUUAGUCUG